rnacentral:lncRNA from 1 species
GUUGAUAGGCUUUCAGCGGUUAGCAUUUUUAGUUGGUUACAUUUUAUUAGCAAGCACCUAUUUACUAGGUGUAAGUUUAUACCUACCCAAUUAAACAUAAAGAACCAACAUUACCUAAAAACAAAGGAACCACGAUUUAUUUUCAUCUUUAAGUUUAAUUAUCAUGUGAGGGUCCAAGCUGCUCAUAACCGUGAGCACGGCUGAUAUACCAGUUUACACUCUGCAGAGGUUGUACACUUUACCCACAGCUCGUGUUCCCCGUAUCGCCCGGGUUUGCAAAGCCCUUAAACACUUCCUUUGGUGAGUGGCUGAGGGUCCACUACGAAGCCUUUUUAAAGGCACAUAGAUAACCAUCAGCCCGCUAGAGUUUCAGUAGCGGUGUGGACCAUAACCCUCCCUAAUAAAUCAGCACAUUAGCCACGGCUACUACUCCAAGAGGACUGGGCUAUACCCCAACACCUUCCCCCUCUUUGCCCUUUUGGUAAGGCCACUAGUCAAGUACAUGUCUAAUUAAUUGGCUAAGAUCAGAGCCAUAUGAUGCUGUGUUUGUACUAUUUUCUUAGGUGGUUCUCCAUGUUCCAAUUAAAAUAAAUGAUCUUGUAAUUAACUAGGUAUAACAACAAAGAAAGUCAUCAUUAAUAUUCUCAAAAAAUUAUGAUGUUACCAUCCCAUAGUAAGCAGUUA